rnacentral:misc_RNA from 1 species
UCCGGCUUAGCACCGGCAGUCCACCCAGAGCCCCCGCCAUGACGCGCUGGCAACUGGGUGCGGGGGUUGCGCUCGUUGCGGGACUUAACCCAACAUCUCACGACACGAGCUGACGACAGCCAUGCAGCACCUGUGCACGGGCUCCGAAGAGGGGCUCUGGUUUCUCAAAGCUUUCCCGUGUAUGUCAAGCCUAGGUAAGGUUCUUCGCGUUGCGUCGAAUUAAACCACAUGCUCCACCGCUUGUGCGGGCCCCCGUCAAUUCCUUUGAGUUUCAGCCUUGCGGCCGUACUCCCCAGGCGGGGCACUUAAUGCGUUAGCGUCGGCACUCAGGGGGUCGCUCCCCCAAGCACCUAGUGCCCAUCGUUUACGGCGUGGACUAC